rnacentral:rRNA from 1 species
CUUCACACGUCAUACAAUGGUCGGUACAGAGGGUUGCCAAGCCGCGAGGUGGAGCCAAUCCCUUAAAGCCGAUCGUAGUCCGGAUCGUAGUCUGCAACUCGACUACGUGAAGUCGGAAUCGCUAGUAAUCGCAGAUCAGCAUGCUGCGGUGAAUACGUUCCCGGGUCUU